rnacentral:tRNA from 1 species
GGUAGCUCAGUUGGUAGAGCAGCGGAUUGAAAAUCCGCGUGUCGGUGGUUCGAAUCCGCCCC